CUGAAGCCACCUCCUAACUAGUCAUUAUGCUUCUGCCCUGUUCCUUACAGUCUCUUCUUAAGACAGUAUCCAGCGUCAUCUUUUUGCAACAUGCCUGGUAAACGUCACCUCUCUGCUUAGCAGAUGGAGCUCUCAUUAUGUUGCCCAGGCGAGUCUCAAACUCCUAAGCUCAAGCAGUCCUUCCACCUCGGCUUCUCCAGGAACAUGGUUGAACCUGGAAAUCAUCAUUCUCAGCAAACUGACACAACAACAGAAAAUCAAACACCACAUGUUCUCACUCAUAGGUGGGUAUUGAACAAUAAGAACACAUGGACACAAGGAGGGGAGCAUCACACCCUGUGGUCUGUCAGGGGGAACAAAGGGAGGGACAGCGGGGGCUGGGGAGUUGGGGAGGGAUAACAUGGGGAGAAAUGCCAGAUAUAGGUGAUGGGGAGGAAGGCAGAAAAACACAUUGCCAUGUGUGUAUCUA
rnacentral:lncRNA from 13 species